GAUUAUGGGAUAUUUAAACAAAAAUUUGGUCAUACUAUUGGCGGCAUGUUAUCGAUAACAGUUAUCGAUAACGCCAAUUAGUUGCUUACAAAAGAUGAAAAAUUAAUUUUAAAUUAUUUUAUGCUUUAAGUACUUUAAUAUAAAUGAAAAUGAUACGUGUUGUGUGCUCCAAGAUUGCUGAUGAUGCAAUCAGCAUGUAUAAUUUCCCUCGGUUGAAGCGGUUUACGGGGCCUGCGAUGCAUUAUCGAGAAAUAGUUUGGAAUACAAGAAUAUGUGUGCCCCGCCUACUUGAAGGAGCUGCUGAUCUUUCUCAAUUGCUACCUGAUGGUGAAUGAAGCUGAACUUUGCCUGAGGAGCCCUUCCAACAGAAGUGUUCUCCAUCGUUCCCAAGGAAGUCAUGAUCAAGAGUGAGCAGGCUAGAGCCAUGGCCACUGCCCUAAAGCGCCGUCGAGGACUUACCCAUUAGGGGGCCUAUGUUACGGAUAUGAUUUGCUGAACAACGAAUUCAUCAAUCGAGGCCAAUAUGACUUAAAUGCUCUUGAUUUUCUCCAUCUUGUAAACAAUGCUAAAAGCCAACAUAAAAAUGAUGCUCAUCGCCAGGUGGACUAGCACCACACUGUGAAAACUAAAUCACGGAUCAUGGUCAACUACGCCUUAUCUUAGCAAGAUUAUUAUCCCCUUUUUGUCAGCUAUUAAUAGAAUCUUCUUGCAGAACACAUGACUGCCUACAAGAAAAAGGUGUCAAUCACUUCCUUACCAACAGGGACGCUCUGUAAGAAGUGGGAGGAGAACAGCCUUGAAGUAAAUCAUCCUCGAAAGACCAGGCAGGACGGUGGGCUCGGGGAAAGAGGAGUAUUGCGAAGCGAGAGACGAGCCCUUGCUGACCCUUUGACCCAAUAAAAACCAAAUCAGACACUUCACGGCUGUUGUUGU